rnacentral:rRNA from 1 species
AUUGAACGCUGGCGGCAGGCCUAACACAUGCAAGUCGAGCGGAAGCAGGGAGCAGGUUCCUGGAUUCCGCGGCGGAGGGGUACGUGUUGCCUAUGAAUGGGCCUGGGAGUGGGGGAUAACGUCCGGAAAUGGGAGCUGUUACUAAUAACGCAUAGAGGGGGAAAGUGGGGGAUGUUCGGAUUCCAGGCUCUCAGCAGAGCCUAGGUCGGAUUAGCUAGAUGGUGGGGUAAAGGCCUACCAAGGCGACGAUCCGUAACUGGUCUGAGAGGAUGAUCAGUCACACUGGAACUGAGACACGGUCCAGACUCCUACGGGAGGCAGCAGUGGGGAAUAUUGGACAAUGGGCGAAAGCCUGAUCCAGCCAUGCCGCGUGUGUGAAGAAGGUCUUCGGAUUGUAAAGCACUUUAAGUUGGGAGGAAGGGCAGUAAGUUAAUACCUUGCUGUAUUGACGUUACCAACAGAAUAAGCACCGGCUAACUUCGUG